CAAAGCGAAUAAGGGCAUACGGGGGAUGCCUUGGCGUCCAGUGCCGAUGAAGGACGUGGUACACUGCGAAAAGCGCGGACGAGGGGUGUGCACCCGCAAGAGUCCGCGAUGUCCGAAUGGGGAAACCCGGUGAGGCGAACCCUCAUCACGCUCGCAAGAGCGAGGGAACCGGAGGAAGUGAAACAUCUGAGUACUCCGAGGAAAAGAAAACAUUCCGUGAGUAGUGGCGAGCGAAAGCGGAGCAGCCCAAACCGGUGGACGUGUCCACCGGGGUAGUAGGACCCUGGGAAACCGAGGAAGUCGAAGUGGAAGGGCGUGGGAAAGCCGACCAGAGAGGGUGAGAGUCCCGUACACGCAGACGACUGAGGGGCAGGGGAUCCUGAGUACCGCGACGCACGCUAACGUUGCGGGAAACUGGGAGGUCCACCUUCCAAGGCUAAAUACACUGGACGACCGAUAGCGGAACAGUACCGUGAGGGAAAGGUGAAAAGAACCCCAGCGAGGGGAGUGAAAAGACUCUGAAACCGUAUGCUUACAACCGGUCGGAGGGGUGAAGACCCUGACGGCGUGCCUUUUGGAGAAUGAGCCUGCGAGUUGAUCGACGUGGCAAGCUUAAGACAGGGACAGUCGGAGGCGAAGCGAAAGCGAGUCUGAAGAGGGCGUAGAGUCGCGGCGAUCAGACACGAAACCAGGUGAGCUACCCAUGGUCAGGUUGAAGCGCGCGUAACAGCGCGUGGAGGACCGAACUCACAAAUGCUGCAAAAUUUGGGGAUGAACUGUGGGUAGAGGUGAUAUGCCAAACGAACUUGGAGAUAGCUUGUUCUCCCCGAAAUAGCUUUAGGGCUAGCGUUUGGCGAAGAGUGCCGGAGGUAGAGCACUGGAUGGGCUAGGGGGCGUCAAGCUUACUGAACCCAACCAAACUCCGAAUGCCGGUCACUUGCGUCAGGCAGUCGGACGGCGGGAGAUGAGUUUCGUCGUCGAGAGGGAAAGAACCCAGACCCACGGCUAAGGUCCUGAAGUGCGGGUUAAGUGGGAAACGAUGUGACCGUGUUGAGACAGCCAGGAGGUUGGCUUAGAAGCAGCCACCCUUUAAAGAGUGCGUAACAGCUCACUGGUCAAACGCGGUUGCGCGGAUAAUGUAACGGGGCUAAACCCGCCACCGAAGCUAGGGACUGUCCAGCAAUGGACAGUGGUAGGGGAGCGUCGUGAUUGCGGAGAAGGCAGAUCGGCAAGGUCUGUUGGAGCGGUCACGAGUGCGAAUGCAGGCAUGAGUAGCGUAAAAGAUGUGAGAACCAUCUUCGCCGAACAUCUAAGGUUUCCGACGGAAGGUCAGUCCGCGUCGGGUUAGUCGGGCCUAAGCCGAGGCGUCACAGCGUAGGCGAUGGACAACUGGUGAAUAUUCCAGUACCGGUGGGUGGAGCAAAGCGCACAUUUUGAGGAGUGACAGCCCUUGCAGUGGAUGAGGGUGGUAAGCGGAGGAAGACCGCGAUGCCGGGCGCAAGCCAGAAGUGUCGGGUACUCGAAAUCGAGAAAAGGCGUGAAGCGAUGAAACCCAGCGUCCGUACCACAAACCGACACUGGUAGAUGGGUUGAGGAUACUAAGGCGAACGGGAGAACCUUCGUUAAGGAACUAGGCAAAAAGGCCCCGUAACUUCGGGAGAAGGGGCGCCAGCGCGAGCUGGCCGCAGCAAAAAGGCUCUAUCGACUGUUUACCAAAAACACAGGUCUCUGCGAACGCGGAAGCGGACGUAUAGGGGCUGACGCCUGCCCAGUGCCGGAAGGUUAAGAGGAGGGGUUCACGCUCUGAAUUGAAGCCCCGGUGAACGGCGGCCGUAACUAUAACGGUCCUAAGGUAGCGAAAUUCCUUGUC
rnacentral:rRNA from 1 species